GCUGGGAUGGCGGAGUGGUCAAUCGCACUUGACUGUAGAUCAAGCGCCUUCGGGCUACCCAGGUUCGAAUCCUGGUCCCAGCA
rnacentral:tRNA from 1 species